rnacentral:rRNA from 1 species
AUGAACUUUAUGUAUGAACUUGUAUUAAUUUGGUCUAUUCGGUGUUGUGUAAUGAAGAUGAGCCGACAAUGGAUGUAUGAUGACAGAUGCUCUCCCGAGUUCAUUAAUGGCGUGCAUACUUUUCUGCUUGCCGCUGAGGCAAACAAGCGGGCGGAUGGUUGUAUGCCUUGUCCAUGUGCUGACUGUAAGAAUGGUCACAGUUACUCUACAUCAAGAACCAUUCAUGUCCACCUAUUUGAGUCCGGUUUCAUGCCCCACUAUAAUGUUUGGACCAAGCACGGAGAAAUAUGGGUUAUGAUGGAAGACAAUGAAGAAGAAGAGGACGACGACGGAUAUCCUGGUCAUGGGUUCCCUGAAUACAAUGAUACAACAAUGGGGGAAGAAGCUGAGUCGGCAAUGCAGGAAGAAGCUGAAGGAGAGGCAUCAGAGGAGCCCGCUGAUGAUCUAGGUCGUGCCAUUGCCGAUGCAAAAAGAAACUGCGCAAGUGAUCUGGAGAGGACGAAGUUGUAG